AAAAAGUGUACAAUAGCAAUUUUCCGUCGCCGGUUAUGAUUUAAAUACCUCUUGCCGUUCGCGGGUGAAAUAUUACUAUUUAGGGUUUUCCAAUUUCCAUUGCAGAUAUGAAUCGAGGUAGAGGUCGAGCUAGCGCAGGUCAUGCAGGCAAAUCCUCAGUUAGGAAACGCAAGAGACUUGCUGCUGAAAAGGGUCGAGAUCCAACACCAAGUGAGAAACAUUUGCGCGUCCAUACACAUGGUCAUGCUGGAAAAUCUUUUGUUGGUGAGCAAUCCCCA